AUUGAACGCUGGCGGCAGGCUUAACACAUGCAAGUCGAGCGGGGUGAUGGUGCUUGCACUAUCACUUAGCGGCGGACGGGUGAGUAAUGCUUAGGAAUCUGCCUAUUAGUGGGGGACAACAUCUCGAAAGGGAUGCUAAUACCACAUACGUCCUACGGGAGAAAGCAGGGGAUCACUUGUGACCUUGCGCUAAUAGAUGAGCCUAAGUCGGAUUAGCUAGUUGGUGGGGUAAAGGCCUACCAAGGCGACGAUCUGUAGCGGGUCUGAGAGGAUGAUCCGCCCCACUGGGACUGGGACCCGGCCCAGACUCCUACGGGAGGCAGCAGUGGGGAAUAUUGGACAAUGGGGGGAACCCUGAUCCAGCCAUGCCGCGUGUGUGAAGGAGGCCUUAUGGUUGUAAAGCACGUUAAGCGAGGAGGAGGCUCUUUUGGUUAAUACCCAAGAUGAGUGGACGUUACUCGCAGAAUAAGCACCGGCUAACUCUGUGCCAGCAGCCGCGGUAA
rnacentral:rRNA from 1 species